rnacentral:lncRNA from 1 species
GGCUGUAAACAUCCUAGUACCGAUCCUUGCAAGCCUCUGUGUGCUAAAAAACAAGAUGUGGCACAACUGCACUCGGCUCCACACUCUGAUGGAACGCAUGAUGGUCUUGGUGGCCUGCUGAUUUAGUUUAUUCUUCUAAUACCUUUCGUGGCCUGUCUACAAGAUUUAGAUUUUUUUUUUGAUGGUGGAAAGGCGCCAACGCGCGGUCGAGUAUAAUUUCUUUGGCGGGAAACCGACACCCCGG